GACGUAGGGUGCGAGCGUUGUCCGGAUUUAUUGGGCGUAAAGAGCUCGUAGGCGGCUCGUCGCGUCGACCGUGAAAACCCGCAGCUUAACUGCGGGCUUGCGGUUGAUACGGGCGGGCUAGAGUUCGGUAGGGGAGACUGGAAUUCCUGGUGUAGCGGUGAAAUGCGCAGAUAUCAGGAGGAACACCGGUGGCGAAGGCGGCAUCCUGGACCGAGAUUGACACUGAUGAGCGAAAGCCAGGGGAGCAAACGGG
rnacentral:rRNA from 1 species